GGCCGGUUGGCCCAAUGGCAAGGCGUCUGACUACGAUUGUCCGCUUAGGCGACUUAGCAUGUUAUCAGGAGAUUCUGGGUUCGACCCCCAGGCUGGUCA
rnacentral:tRNA from 1 species